AUAAAAUUAGGAUCAAAACAAGAAACACAUAUUAACUCAAGGACUAAAAUAAGAAUUUCUCAUUUUACAUUAUAUAUUAUACUUUAAUAGAAAAAUUAACCUAAAUAACUGCCCAAUCAAUAAUCAUGUCUCAGUCUUAGGACUUCUUUGUGCAUUAGAAGAUUCAAUUGAUACAGAGGCACCUAACUUUGAUUUCAUUAUUAAAAAAAAAAAGAUUCUUAACUAAGUGUAUCUAAACCAAAGCCAAGAAAUCAUCAUCAUACUUGAUAGGCUUUAAACAGUAGAAGAAAAUUUUUUGAGCUUCAGUGGAAAAUAUAAAAAUCACCAGCCUUGUUCGUUCCAUGAGUUUACCUACUACAUUAUCAUCCUCUUAUUGCAAGUAAGAGCAUUUGCAAAGGUUGGAGUCAACUGAAGGUACCUCCCAGGCUCCCACAUCUUCUCCCACCAAUAUGCCAGAGAUUGGAUGGUCUUAGAAGAUCGUAUGAGCGAGUAGACGACGUGCUCCAGUUGCCAUUCAGCCAAUAAGUUCUCUGCCAUGAAAAGCAUACCAUGUGAGUGGAACAAGUCUCUAACAGGUCUCUCAACUUUCUGCUAUUUCGUUACAGUUCUCAUCUAUUUAAGUUUUAAUUAAUAGUCUAUUGAGGCUAACAUUUAAUGUAGGUGGCUCUUAUUAGUUGCCAAUACCAGCAGGAUCAAUAAUUGUGUACUAAACAAAGAGGCAAGCGCAUUAAAAUGCAUAGGACAAAUACCAUAUGUUUAACUCAAAUGAAUAUUCUACUUAAUUCUUUUUGAUUUGCCAUAAACCAAUUAAGUUUAACGGGGUUAAAAUUAGUCACUGGCCUUAUUAGCCUCAGUAUUAGGCUUGGGUAGACUCUAUUCUGUAGUGUCACGACUCAACUAACGGUUGUGCACAUAGGAGGGCUUCACCCAUCAUAGCAAGCCUUUGAAUCUUUAAAAAUUUCGACCUUGCCUAUAACUGAAACUAAUUCCAUUUUUGUACCUCUCUCAUAUCAUCCAAACUACAUCACUCAACAAUCCCAAGAGUAACAUCAUUCAUUUCACGUGUAAUAAUCAAGAUGCUAGACUAGCAAAAUAUAUAUAUCAGUGUCUCUCUCUUUUUCCCUUUUAUUUUUUUAACACAGUCUACCGCAUUACAAAGUUACAACCACCCAUAAGGUUCGCGGAUCAAUACAACUAAGAGUUUUCAAUAACUGUGUAACUGAAACAUAACAACAGAAAAAGAGGAAGUGGAACCAGCAUCACCCAUGGAAGGAAACGUGCGGCUCAGCACUGAAGUACACUAGCUCAAGUCUCGGUAUAGGAAUGAACACUUGUAUCUGUAGACAUAAAAGUAAGGAAUGAGUUCACUGACUCAACAAGUGAUAACUAAUUCAUAACGGGGUAAGAGUUUCAGAAAACACUAUAAUAUGCAAUAUAGGUAACACAAUAUUCUUUAAUAAACACAUUGCAGUGGCAAACUUUCAGUUUGCUAAUUGUGUCUGAUAUCUCUGUUCAAAAUACUACUUGUAACAAUUGAAACCACUCAACCCCCCCCCCCCCCCCCGCCAAAACAAAAACAAAAAUAUAAAAUAAAGGACUAUUUAAAAAGAAAACCUUCAAACCAACAUUCUAGAAUUUAAAAGACAAAUCUAGUCCACUUAUAAAGAUUAAGAAAGAGAAAACGGCCAAAAUUAUUCUUGAAUUCGGUCCCAAAAAAAGUCUGUACCGCUAGCCCAUUGGAACACUUAUGCCCCUCAAAACUAACGGACUCACAUCAGCCUUUUCCUUCUCUUGCCCAUAUCUAUGAAAAUUCAAUCUAAGAAAGAAUAAAGAUUCUAAUCAAUCUCACCCUUUACAUCUUCACACAGAAUACUCUUCAUCAUCAUAUCCAAAUCAUUUUCUUUCCUGUACUCGCAGCCAAGUUUUCCAUCAGU
rnacentral:lncRNA from 1 species